rnacentral:rRNA from 1 species
GUAGGUGGCAAGCGUUGUCCGGGAAUUAUUGGGGCGUAAAGCGCGCGCAGGCGGUUCUUUAAGUCUGAUGUGAAAGCCCACGGGCUCAACCGUGGAGGGUCAUUGGAAACUGGAGAACUUGAGUACAGAAGAGGAAAGCGGAAUUCCACGUGUAGCGGUGAAAUGCGUAGAGAUGUGGAGGAACACCAGUGGCGAAGGCGGCUUUCUGGUCUGUAACUGACGCUGAGGCGCGAAAGCGUGGGGAGCAAACAGGAUUAGAUACCCUGGUAGUCCACGCCGUAAACGAUGAGUGCUAAGUGUUAGGGGGUUUCCGCCCCUUAGUGCUGCAGCUAACGCAUUAAGCACUCCGCCUGGGGAGUACGGCCGCGAGGCUGA